rnacentral:tRNA from 1 species
GGCUUUGAAGUAUAUGUUACGUUGAAUUGCAAAUUCAGAAGAGCAGUUGAAGACUGCCGAGGCUU